UCUGCGUCGCAGAAUUUACCGUAUCUCGUUUCAAGCACCAGCGAAGAGCCGAAGAAAUCCCUCUUCCCUCUUCCCUCUUCCCUCUUCAGAUAAGAGAGAGAGAGAGAGAGAGAGAGAGAGAGAGAGAGGCGAGAGCGUUGGAGUCGUAGGGGACGAGAGAGGAUGGAGCCACUGGGAUGGAGGGCGCUUUCGCUGCUGGCUUUGCUCGCCUCCAUCCUCGUUCUUCACAUAAAAACCCCUUCCGAGCAAUCGGAGAUUAAUAGCGAUUGCAGCCUUCUCCCCUACGAUCGCUAUUGGAUAUCCAGCAAACGCAUCGUUACACCACAAGGUGGCAUCACGGGUGCAGGUAUCUCUUGAAGGACAAGAAAAUUGAUGAAAUCAAAGAUUACCAAUUGAAUUGAUUAAUUGCCACCCUGAUGUGCUGCGAUAUUCUCCAUUCUCUUUGCAAUUUUUAUGUUACUGGUUUAUGAAAUUACUUGUAAAGAAACUCUUGUAGUCCACAAAACCGGUUUAUGAAAUUACUUGUAAAGAAACUCUUGUAGUCCACAAAACCAAGUAGAAUUGUGUAGCCAUGGAGCUAAUCUUUAUUGUUGGCUUUUCAUUGACCUACUGAUGAUCAGUUGAGGUGAAAGGAGGAAUAAUUGUUUCGGUGGUCCAAGGAUUACCUGCAAAGCUCAUUCUCUAGGGCACGUGUGGUGGAUUAUGGAGAUGCUGUUAUUAUGCCUGGUUUGUUUGAUGUAUAAGCUAUCAUGGAAUUCCUUUCUUUCAAUCAUCUUUAUUUUCUAAUUUGUAUUGCAUGCCACUGGAUUGAUGGAGAAACCGAGAAACGGUUCGGUCUUUUCCUUCUCACAUUCGGUCGGCCGUCGCCGGGCAUGGUGCGUGGCCGGCCGUCAUCGGGCGUGGCGCAUGGUCGGCACCAUGUUGGGGUUGUUGACGACUUGGUCGUCGGCCAUGGGUGGCUACUGCCGCCAAGCAUGCCACGGGGAGAAGAUAGAAAGAAGGGGAGAGAGGGAGGAAGGGAGAGCCACUCGGUUCCCUCUCUUCUUUCGUUGCCCUUCUUUUCUCUUUCUAGUUUUUUUUCUCUACUGGGUUUCUCUCUCUAAACUUGGAUUCGGGGAGAUCUUUGUUUUGAGGGUUCUGGGUUGUCAUAUAUCUUGGAAAAUUUUUUAAUAUUAACUUGGUUCUGUAGGAAAACAAUCUGUUGGACGAGAGGACGCUGAGCAAGGUUCUGAGCAUCCCAGUUCCUAGAUUGCCGUGAGGGCGGGUGAUUAGUCUGUCUGAGUUUUUUAACAAAGGAGUUGCAGGAUGCAUAGAUAUGGAUGGGUUGGGCGCGGAGCACGAGUAUCAAAGUCAUUAGCUUGUUAGUUAGUUUAUCUUUUUUGAUAUCGAUGAAUAUUUGAAGAUCUUGUAAUUGAACCAAAUUGAUUAUCUGGACAUGUUGGAUUUGUCAAUUUGAAUUCAUUAAUUAGUUGUGGAUUUA